AGUGGUUCUCAAUAGUUCAACAGUCUUUCUUGAUUUUGUGAAAUGUUUAGGACCACUUG
ensembl:miRNA gmo-mir-203a gmo-mir-203a